rnacentral:rRNA from 1 species
GGCCAUGGCGGAGGUGACACACCCGGACCCAUGCCGAACCCGGCAGUUAAGCCCUCCAGCGCCGAUGGUACUGCCUCUUCGAGGGGUGGGAGAGUAGGACGCCGCCGGAA